ACAGUCAAAUGUGGAUUUUUGAAUGUGGAUUUUUGAACACACAGAAUCUGCAGAUGCCGUGGUCAUGGAGAUAAGUACCUGAACACAAAUCCCUCUGAGCGUUCUGACUGCGCUGCCCAUAUGGAGUUAUGAAAUCACCGUGCAAAUACAGAGUGUUUUCCAAACUGCUCAUCACACUAGGACCAAACCAAACACGAGCAGAGACUGAAUUACCUCUUGUCCAUGAAGAAAAUAUUGCUUUUGAUUGCAAGAUUGAGGUUUUUGGCAGGGUACCAGGGAGCUCCCAGUGUGGUUGCCUGUAAGACCCAGGAGUGUAUAUGGCUAGAGGGCAAACAUAAGAUUCCUGCUGUGCCAACAUAUCAACUUUUGUAAACACAAAUAUGGAAUGAAAAAAUAAGAAGCAGCACGACCAUAUCAUGCCAUAGAGAUUCGAGGAAACCAAUAUUUGGGAUGGGAAGAAGGCCUGAGAUCAUUAACCUUCAUUAACUACAGGAGUCCAGUGGGGAAAGAUUACCUCUGGCAUUAAAAAAGCACCUCAAAAAGCUGUUAAAAGAAGAAGAGACACCUCUGUUUGGAAGGGAAGAGUUGACAUCCUUGCAGUUUACAGGGGAAAUCUGUUCCACUGUCCAUACCCUCUAUCAUUGUUUAGUUGGAGAAGGGACACAUUUCCAGCUAGCCAGUUUUCAGCACGCAGCUAUGCAAGCACAUACCCACUGUCUCUAGAGACACCCCAGAAUACAAAUUUAUGAUACAAACCCCUCCGUGGACCACAUCAGUAUGUGAGAGACCUUCCAACUGCCUCCCAAACCACUGAGAGCUGGAACAAGAGAAACACCAGUGAAAGCUAAAGGUAAAAAACAAGAUACAGUGAACUAAAGGAAAAAAACAAGAUGACUGGACAAAAAGAAGUUGAAAAUAAUACGAAUGAACAGAGGGAAAGGGAGUGUUGCAAGCCAUCCAAAGGAAACUCAUAAAAUAAGGAAUGAUUUGGAAUCUAAGAAUCAAAUAGGGCCAAGGCCUAACUUUCCCUCAAAAAUUAGAUUCAUUGAUUCAAAUUAAAACAAGAUGUACUCUCAGCCAUUUUUCUCUGACUCAAAGGAAACUAGUGGUGGGAUAAGGAGUUAAAAUGGAGAUAGAAUUAAUGGAACUAAAGGGAAAAGGAAAUCAGUGAACCUGCAAAAACUUGGGAAGUAGUUGCUUUACGAAGGAAAAGAGGGCAAGGGGGUGGCAAGAACAUUAAAUUAACUUGUCCUGGAGUAGAAGUUCACAAUGGAGCAGAAUGGAAGGAGUAACUGACAGCGUGAAAAUAAAUCCGAUGUGUAGUAUGCACUGAUCUGUAAAUGAGGGAUAGGAUAAUAUAUUAUGGGAGACAUACUUGAUUUACAUCUUUCUUUAAAUUAUUUCAGGUCCGAAUGAAAAGACAACUGUUUGUUCUCUUUCUAUAGACGCAUUUAUAAUAUAUGUCAUAAAAGCUUUCAUUGUAUCUAAAUUGUAUCAGAAAUCUAAAUUAAAACAAUGUACAGUGUAUUAAUCCUUUGUCUUGUUACAGAAAGACAGCAUUAAAAUGUGGAUUCAAUGUAUCUUUUUUUGUGAAUGUCAUUAGUAUUUGAUUACAAUGAUCUGAAUUUAUCUGUACAACAAUAAUAUUUGUAUCCUCUCAGAAGUGGAGUGAAGAGAUGAGGGAUGACAGAACAAAUUGAGGUAAUAUAUCACACCAGUGAUAUGCCAUCUUUGUUUGAAACAUACUUGUUCACGCUAUCUAAUCCUUAAUUUUUAUAUAUAUAUGAUGACAGGCAUUUGAUCACAUUUCAAGAAGAACAAAGAGUAACAAAUAUUAAAGGACACUUCCUGAUUUAAGCGAAUUGCUGAUUACCGAUGAGUUCCAUGAACUCUGGAUCCCAACAGAGAAUGGAAUUCCAGAAUGAAAAACACAGCAAGAAAAUAAAUGCUGACCACCACACAGCCGGAGUGUCUGGAUGCCAGGGAUACUAUGAAACAGAUAUUUUGAGAUCUUCCAUGGUAUAUUACACAUAGAUCCCCCAAAAGAACCCAAUUACUUUAAAUCAUCCUAGCCUAUGUGAACUGAAGACAUAGAAGCAAAACAGACUUUCUACCACUCUGUUUUGCAAACCUGAUGCUGCUUUUUCCUCUGCUGAAAAUUUGCAUGUUUUCUCAGAGCCUGUUUCUUUCUCACAAUAAACAAUGCAAAGCCCUCCUGCCAAAAAAAUGUCCAAAUGCUAAACAGUUGCUAUUAUAGUCAUUAUUAUAGCAGCAACUUUGAGCUGCGUGCUUUUAAAUUAUAAUUAUUUUUACAAAAGAUUUUUGUGUGUCUUGAUUGCAGUAAUUAUUAUUCCAUAGUAGUAAAUGUCUAUUUAAAAAGUCACAUUAGCUUACUGUUCCAGAUAAAUUAGUUUCCUUAAAUGAACUUCAUACAUAUGGGUGGUUUUCUCUGUAUUUAUCUUAUUUGCUAUGCCAACAACAAACUAAGAUGUAUUAGACAGCUGAUAAAUUACUGUUUCAUUAUAAAAAUAACUAUUGAAAGACAUCAAAUGAAAUGUUUUUCAUGGAAAGGCUUCAUGCAGAUAAUACCAUGCUCUAAUUCAGGAAUGCCCAUUUCUCUUUAGUCUUGUUUCUCACCUAUCUCCCUUUGCUUUGUAAGGGGGACAUGCCAACAAAAUAAAAAAGCAGUGCAAAAGGAAAAAAAUAAUGUGAGACUAAUGUGUCAUACAGUCUAGCACACAUGCUAGUGAUAGGCCUGUACCUUGUUUAAAGAAUAUCCAAUUUUAACAACAGCACAUGGUCCAAGAAACAGGCUUCUUCAACAGCAAAUCUGGGAAUUAAGACAGAAAACAGUUCAGGCAGUGGGAUACCCAAAAACAGUGCUAACAUCCCAAAUCAGGACCCAUGUGGGACCAUUGCCACCGUGACAGGCAGGGAUUGGAGGUCAUGAUUUAAAGCACCCGUGGCAGUGUGCAUUCUCUUCUGGAGCAUCCCCAGGGCACUCUCUGUCCCUCUGCCAAUUCACAAGCUACUGAAGUUUAGCAGCUGAUUGGAGAAAAUUUUUUUUAAAAAAGGAAGUCCAGAAGAGGAAAUCAAGAGGGACCUGAGCAACAGAGGGUAGCAGACUUCUGGCUCCAAUGCCAUGCUCUUU